AGAGUUUGAUCAUGGCUCAGGACGAACGCUGGCGGUGUGCUUCACACAUGCAAGUCGAACGGGGGUAGCAAUACUCUAGUGGCGGACGGGUGAGUAACGCGUGGGAAUCUGCCCUGGGGUGGGGGAUAACUAGCCGAAAGGUUAGCUAAUACCGCAUAUGCCGUGAGGUAAAAGGAGUAAUCCGCCCGAGGAUGAGCCUGCGUCCGAUUAGCUAGUUGGUGAGGUAAAUGCUCACCAAGGCUACGAUCGGUAGCUGGUCUGAGAGGAUGAUCAGCCACAAUGGGACUGAGACACGGCCCAUACUCCUACGGGAGGCAGCAGUGGGGAAUUUUACGCAAUGGGCGAAAGCCUGACGUAGCGACACCGCGUGAGCGAAGAAGCCCUUUGGGGUGUAAAGCUCUGUCGGCAGAGACGAAAAUAAAUAUGACGGUACCUGCAGAGGAAGCAUCGGCUAACUACGUGCCAGCAGCCGCGGUAAGACGUAGGAUGCGAGCGUUGUCCGGAUUCAUUGGGCGUAAAGAGUUCGUAGGCGGUUUGUUAAGUCUGAUGUUAAAGAUCGGGGCCCAACCCUGGGGGUGCAUUGGAUACUGGCAGACCGGAGUGCAGUAGAGGCAAGUGGAAUUCCCAGUGUAGCGGUGAAAUGCGUAGAUAUUGGGAAGAACACCGGUGGCGCAGGCGACUUGCUGGGCUGUAACUGACGCUGAGGAACGAAAGCUAGGGGAGCAAAUGGGAUUAGAUACCCCAGUAGUCC
rnacentral:rRNA from 1 species